rnacentral:rRNA from 1 species
ACUUAAAUUGAAGAGUUUGAUCAUGGCUCAGAUUGAACGCUGGCGGCAGGCCUAACACAUGCAAGUCGAACGGUAGCACAGAGAGCUUGCUCUCGGGUGACGAGUGGCGGACGGGUGAGUAAUGUCUGGGAAACUGCCCGAUGGAGGGGGAUAACUACUGGAAACGGUGGCUAAUACCGCAUAACGUCGCAAGACCAAAGUGGGGGACCUUCGGGCCUCACACCAUCGGAUGUGCCCAGAUGGGAUUAGCUAGUAGGUGGGGUAACGGCUCACCUAGGCGACGAUCCCUAGCUGGUCUGAGAGGAUGACCAGCCACACUGGAACUGAGACACGGUCCAGACUCCUACGGGAGGCAGCAGUGGGGAAUAUUGCACAAUGGGCGCAAGCCUGAUGCAGCCAUGC